GCCAGGCGUGGAGGCGCAAGCCUGUAAUGCCAGCAGCUUGGGAGGCUGAGGCAGGAGGAUAAAGAGUUCAAAGCCAACCUCAGCAAAAGUAAGGUGCUAAGCAACUCAGUGAGACCCUGUCUCUA
rnacentral:sRNA from 1 species